rnacentral:rRNA from 1 species
AUGCGAAUUACUGAGCUAUUACUUGUUGUGUAUUUGAUUAUUUGUAGGAUGUCCGACACAAAUGCAACAUCGGCAUCGCAGGAAGAGAAUGUCCUUAAGAGAAAGUCAGAUGAUGUGGGAUGGGAGUACGGGAGUCUAGCUGAUGCUUCCAACAAGGAUAAAGUGAAGUGUAUGUUUUGUAACCAUGUGAGCACGGGAGAUGUUUAUCGUCACAAGCAGCAUGUGGCUCAUAUUGGUAAUGAUGUGGUCAAAUGCAGGAAAAGCUCUCAGGAAGCUAAAGACAGGUGCAAGAAAUCUCUUGAGGAUGCAUCUAAUAAGAGGAGGUAA